GUCCACGCCGUAAACGAUGGGUACUAGGUGUCGCGGGUAUUGACCCCUGCGGUGCCGAAGCUAACGCAUUAAGUACCCCGCCUGGGGAGUACGGUCGCAAGACUAAAACUCAAAGGAAUUGACGGGGGCCCGCACAAGCGGUGGAGCAUGUGGUUUAAUUCGACGCAACGCGAAGAACCUUACCUGGGCUUGACAUCCCGAUCGUACCUGCUGGAAACAGUGGGGUCAGUUCGGUUGGAUCGGAGACAGGUGCUGCAUGGCUGUCGU
rnacentral:rRNA from 1 species